rnacentral:tRNA from 1 species
AGCCCCAUAGAAUAGUGGUCAAGUUCACGGCCCUCUGGCGGCCGAAACCCCGGUUCGAAUCCGGGUGGGGCUA